UGGGGAAUAUUGGACAAUGGGCGGAAGCCUGACGCAGCCAUGCCGCGUGUGUGAUGAAGGCUUUCGGGUCGUAAAGCACUGUUUGGAGGGAAGAAGAUCUGACGGUACCUCCCAAGAAAGCACCGGCUAACUCCCAGCCAGCAGCCGCGGUAAUGCGGAGGGUGCGAGCGUUGCUCGGAAUCACUGCGCGUAAAGCGUAUGCAGGCGGCUUCAUCAGUCGGGUGUGAAAUCCCGGAGCUCAACUCCGGAACUGCGCCCGAUACUGUGGGGCUUGAGUACGGGGGAGGGACAGCGGAAUUCCUGGUGUAGAGGUGAAAUUCGUAGAUAUCAGGAGGAACACCAGUGGCGAAAGCGGCUUCCUGGCCCGAUACUGACGCUGAGAUACGAAAGCGUGGGGAGCAAACAGGAUUAGAUACCCGUGUAGUCC
rnacentral:rRNA from 1 species